UUUGCGCAGUAGAAAAAAAUUGAUACAUUUAUUUAAUGAGAACAUAUUUGCUCCGUAUCAAAUCAUUUCAAAUGGUCUCACAGGCUCAAGCACUCUCCUCAAUUUCCCCCCAAAUUCACCCUUAAAGCCGGGCAGUCUGUUCAUGUAUGCUUCACUGUUUGCCAGUGUUUUUACAUUGACGUUUGGUGAAAGACUGGUCCACCUCGGUGGUCCUCCUCCGUGGGUGAACAGAUCUGGGCAGCUAACGGAGGCGGCUCCCACAACCCCCCCACUGACCUGGUGUGGAAGACCCAGAACUCCUGGGGCAGCGUAGACCUGUUCCACACCACCCUCAUCAGUGCCAGCGGAGAGGAAAUGGCCACGAGGAAGAUCACAUGAACUCUAUUCCAGGAUGAGGAGGAGGAGGAGAUGGGAAUUUUUUGGAGCUGUCUUUU